AUAUUUGUUAUGCUUCAAUCCAAAUGCUGGCUCAUAUAACACAUAUAUCAACAUAUAAGUAUAAGAAAAUUUCUAUCAUAUGGAAGCUUUUACAAAUUUCAUUGAUUUUAAAAUUCAAGAAUGAAUCAAUGAAUUAUGUCUAAGAAAAAACGGUUUACUAUGCGUAUGCAAUAUACAAUAAUCAGGAUAAUAUAAUAAAUUCCUGUAUUGAAAUUGGAACUCACCACAUCAGUAUGAAAGUCAAUCCAAGCGAUAUGAAUGCCUUUGUGUUGUAUUUGCCCAGCAUGAUGUUGACGACGAAACAGAAAAUUAAACCAAACCUCAAAUCAUCUCACUUUACAUCGACGUGGGAAUUUCAUAAUUCGCUUUAUGAAAUCUGCAACACGAUAGCGUAAUCGAAAUCGAAAUUGAAGUUGAAUUCGAAUUUAAUUUUCAAUGCAUUCAAAUUAAAAG